GUGCUCACUUCGGAAGCACAUAUUCUAAAAUUGGAGCAAUACCAAGAAUAUUAGCAUCUCCCCUGCACAGGGACGACACGCAAAUUUGUGAAGAAAUCAGUCCUGGC